rnacentral:rRNA from 1 species
UACGAAGGGGGCUAGCGUUGCUCGGAAUCACUGGGCGUAAAGCGCACGUAGGCGGACUCUUAAGUCGGUGGUGAAAUCCUGGAGCUCAACUCCAGAACUGCCUUCGAUACUGGCGAUCUCGAGUUCGGGAGAGGUGAGUGGAACUGCGAGUGUAGAGGUGAAAUUCGUAGAUAUUCGCAAGAACACCAGUGGCGAAGGCGGCUCACUGGCCCGAUACUGACGCUGAGGUGCGAAAGCGUGGGGAGCAAACAGGG